CUGUAGCUCAGUAGGAUAGAGCGAUUGCCUCCUAAGCAAUAGGCCGCUGGUUCGAUUCCAGUCAG
rnacentral:tRNA from 1 species